rnacentral:rRNA from 1 species
UACAGAGGUCUCAAGCGUUGUUCGGAUUCAUUGGGCGUAAAGGGGUGCGUAGCGGCGCGGUAAGUCGGGUGUGAAAUCCUGGGGCUUAACCCCGGAACUGCAUUCGAUACUGCAGUGCUUGAGGACUGGAGAGGAGACUGGAAUUUACGGUGUAGCGGUGAAAUGCGUAGAUAUCGUAAGGAAGACCAGUGGCGAAGGCGGGUCUCUGGACAGUUCCUGACGCUGAGGCACGAAGGUCAGGGGAGCAAACGGG